rnacentral:rRNA from 1 species
GACGAACGCUGGCGGCGUGCUUAACACAUGCAAGUCGAACGAUGAAGCUCAGCUUGCUGGGUGCUUGCGUUGGGAACGGGUGGGUAACACGUGAGUGAACAGCCCUCUUCUUUGGGUUAACGCACGGCGAGGGGUGGGAAUACUUGAUAUUCACUAAUUCUCGCCGGGGGGUUGGAGAGAAAGAUUCUUCUGGUGUGGGAUGGGCACGCGGACUCUCAGCUUGUUGGUGGGGUGAUGGCGUACCAGGUCUUUGACGGGAAGCCGGCUGGAGAGGGUGACCGGUCACCUUGGGCAUGGGACACGGCCCAGACGGCUACGGGAGGCAGCAGUGGGGCAUAUUGCACAAUGGGCGAACGCCGGAAGCAGCGGCGCCGCGUGAGGGAUUGAGGCCUUCGGGUUGUAGUCAUCUUUCGCUCAUGGUCGAGCCGCAGCCUAGGGUUGUGGUGACGGUAGUGGGUAAAGAAGCGCCGGCUAACUACGUG